rnacentral:lncRNA from 1 species
UGUCAGCUCAAGCCCGCCCCUGCGGAGGGGGCGAUGCCUCGCGGUCUGAUUGGGCGAGGCGCUUGAUUGGCAGCUCGGAAAGGGCGGAGUCGGUCGUUGCUGGGCAACGCGGAGCCGCCGCGCUGGAGGCCGGGAGGAACUGGGACGAACUGGGACAAACUGGGAGCGGACUGGGACGAACUGGGAGCCGCUGGAUCGUGUUGGGACAGACCGGAAUCCCCCUGGAGCCCGACUGGGAGCCGCUGGGUUAUACUGGGACAAACUGGGACCCACCAGGGCCUGAACUGGGAGCCGCUGGUUUAUACUGGGACAAACUGGGACGCACUGGGACCCCGCCAGUGCCAGACUGGUUUGUACUGGGUCGCGCCCGCAGCGAAAAACCAUCAAAAACCAGUUAAAACCAGUAAAACUGGGCCAGGAUGUGGCCCCGCCCCCGCCCCGGUAAAGCCACGCCCCCCUCAAACUGAACGCGGUGACGUCAUCGACUGGCCACGCCUUUAUUGGGGGUGGGGGAAGGCACUGGGGGGGCCUGGGCCAGACUGGGACCAACUGGACCCAACUGGGCCCAACUGGACCCAACUGGAACCAACUGGG